rnacentral:rRNA from 1 species
UCGGAUAAGCCUGGGAAACUGGGUCUAAUACCGGAUAGGACGAUGGUUUGGAUGCCAUUGUGGAAAGUUUUUUCGGUGUGGGAUGAGCUCGCGGCCUAUCAGCUUGUUGGUGGGGUAAUGGCCUACCAAGGCGUCGACGGGUAGCCGGCCUGAGAGGGUGUACGGCCACAUUGGGACUGAGAUACGGCCCAG